CGGACACUCGGCAUGAGCCCGUGAGUGAGCGUCACAGACGGGAUACGGACACUCGGCACCAGCCCGUGAGUGAGCAUCACAGACUGGAUACGGACACUCGGCAUGAGCCCGUGAGUGAGCGUCACAGACGGGAUACGGACACUCAGCACCAGCCCGUGAGUGAGCAUCACAGACUGGAUACAGACACUCAGCAUGAGCCCAUGAGUGAGCGUCACAGACGGGAUACAGACACUCGGCACGAGCCCGAGAGUGAGCGUCACCAGCUCCACUUUUACAGAGAAGUAAAGGCAAGUUCAGAAGAUUAAGUGUCUCUCUCAAGUUCACACCAUGGCCCGAACAGACUAAGACACUGCUCCAGUGUGAUGAAUGACCAGUGUGAUGGAACUCACCUUACACCUUUUGGACGGAUGCAUGGAGAAGCCGUGAGAGUAUAAGGUGAAAACCGAGUCCAGAGGGAGAAGGUCAGUCACCCCCUCCUCAGGGAAGCCUCUGAUGGCCUUCCUGAUUCGGACAAUUCCCAGCUGCGUUCACCUGGAACGACUUCUCUCUCACCACAGCACGUGCUACAGUUCGAGUUCUACUGCGCUCUUUCAUGGAGCAUCUGCCUCCCCCAGGAAACUCUGUGCUCCACAAAGACAGCGGCUAUGCUGGAUUUUUGUUCCGUUUUUGUGGACCACCUUGUUCCCAGCAGCAGCAAAGGUGGUGGUGGCAACUAACACCCAGGACUUUCUAAGUGCCAGGUGCCAUUCUGAGGACUUUAGAAUGAGGUGAGUAUGGCUGACAUCCCCAUUUUACUGAAGGGGAAACCACGACACAGGAAGGCUGUGUGCCAGCACAACCUCACACCGCUACUAAACGGUGAAGCCAGGAUUUGCACCCAGGUCGCUGGUCCCUGGUCCACCUUUGAACAACGACAUGGCACUGUCCUUUGAUGUGGCACUUACCUUAGCACACAGGGGCACCCGAUAAACGUUUGUUAAAAGAAAGAUCAACCACGCGUUCCUUUUUAGACUCCUAAAAACGUUAUCUCCUCUUUUGGAUGAAGGGAAAAAAAAAUCUCUUCCCUGGGAAUGAACCAGCAGAAUGAAAGGGGUAGUUAUGAAAAACCAGAGUUUUCUGGAAAGAAAUUUUCUUUUUCAGACAGCAGUGCUUGACUUUGAAGAAAAAUGCUGCAUACAAGGUUCAUUCAUUGCAACAAGUCCCAGCGCUUUCCUUUCCCUGAAUGCAGAUGGAGUGGGGACCGACAGGGCUCCAGGCCGUUCUCGGGAGAUGUUUUACGCUGGGACUCUGGACUCAGGUUCCCGUGACUUGACAGUCAAGGGUGCUGGUGCCUCAUAAGUGGCUAAUCAAAGAGAAAGACAAUCUUUCAUUUGAAGCUUUCCCAGAGUAAGAGAAGGCGGCCUGAGAGUGGGUUGUGAGCCACCCCUGAGGUUAAGACAUGCCAAGUGCUGUGUGGUGCGUGAGGCAUUCGGGUAGAACCCUGGAGGCAUGGGGAAUGAAGAAUUCCUCCCCACAAAAGCAGGCAGAAGCCGUUAUAUUUGCAUGGUCUUAGCAGAACACGACCGUCUGUGGAGCAAAAGGGCCCCAUGUGCAUUGUUAGUAGAAAUACUUAAAGGAUUAGGACCGCCUGCACCGGCAGACAGCCUUGAUCUAAGGUUUUCACAGGAUAUGAGUUCCCCAGGGUACAACCCAACACGCGGGCACCAUUCCAGGUUAAAGCAGGAGAUAAAACGGGAAGAAUUCAGGCUGCUCCAUUCAUUCCAAACCAAGAAAGAAAGCAUCUCCUUCCAGCUUAUUGUUUCAGGAUCAGCGUGAACGUCAGUGACACUGAACACGGACAAGACGCGGCCUCACUUCCUGAAGUGUUUGAUGUGCUUAAACUGAAACCCGCUUCAAACCCUCUGGGAAUCACAGUGCCCUGACGAGCUGUCCUCCAAACGGGGAGCAAGGCACGCUCACGGGCUGCCCAGGGACGCACCCUCCCGCCCCUUCUGAUCAUUUUUUAAAUCAAGAGGAAAAAAAACCAGGACGUACUUUUUCCAGCUCCCUAGUGUCGCAGCAUAAGAUAAGAACACACUUUCUACCAUUUCUACCAUUCUUUGGCUCAUGCCAAAGAUGUUAGAUAACUCAGUGAAGCUAGAGGUAUCCUAUAUCCUGCCAGAGCUGAGGAAUCGACGGAGCCACCAGGCAGCUGGGAGCCAGGGCAGCACUCCGUCAGGACGUGAUGACGCCAGCUCUUUACGAUGAGGUUUCCUUCUUUGUGUGUCCUCGCUGCUUAGAGGAAUGGCCGAGUCUGGAGACAUCUGAAUUUGUUCUGGGUUUCUCGCAAACGCCGUGGAUCACAGUGAGGGAACCACGAACCCACAGAAAGCAGGACUGAACCUCAACACCAAGAAUCUGAGCGCCUGGCAGAGAACUGUAUACCCAGCAGCAACGCUAGACUUUCAAACAAGCAUCUCCAUGGUCGAAGCCUGAGGCAGGCCCUGGAGCAUGUGUCAGACAUGAGGCAGCUGACCAAGCUUCCUGAAUUUCUCUCCUUCCAUACACACACAGGAUGAGAAUUCCCUGUCCCCUGUGAAGUGAGACCUGGCCACGUGACUGGCUUUGGCCCGUGAAAUGUGAGCAGCCUAGCUCCCUGGGGAACUAAGAUGAGACGAGUUUGCCCCACUGAUCCAUAAUGGACAGGCAGGGUGAGCAGGAAAGAACCUUUUACUGUUUAAACUGCUGAGACACGGGCCUGUAUGUUAACACAGCAUCAGUCAGCACAUACUGACUGAUACAGAGGAGCAACUCAUGUGGCCAAAAUACCCAGGCCCUGUGCCUGAGGAUCUGAUGCUGCAGCCAAGCAACAAAGCACGCACGGAUGAAACAACGGAGGGAAGAGAACUCAUACGUAGGCAACGAAAUGCCAGAUGUGACACUAAGGGAUUUAUGUCAUUAUUUCAUAAUGAUCUCGUGCAUUAUUUUCUGUAAUGACGCUGUUCCCAUUUUACAAGUGAAGACACUGGGAGGUAAAAUAAUGUUCCCAAGGUCUCUCAGCUAGUAAGUGGCAGAGCUAAGAUUUGAAUCCAAAUCUGUCAGAAUCCCAAGCCUCAUGCUCUUUCCCACCUCCGCCGGUUUCCUAGCCCCUGAAAUUGACCUGAAAUUACUCGAGACCAGCACCGGCUAUAACCGGGCAAGGGAUAAAGUGAUUAGCAAAUGCCUUCUGACCGAAGUGAGUUUCAAAUCAACUCUAAGUGACGCUCUUAAGAGGGAAGCUGGGGAGGGCAGGCGAAAACGUGCAGCCCGCAGCGGCGGUACACAGAGAGUGGAUGAGGAAUAAGGUGACCACUUAGACAGAAAGAGGCCAAGCAGGAGAGUGAUGAGGGAGGCAGCGGCGUGAAGCUUUAAACAACAGGCUGGAGUGUUUCCACUUUGUGACCACAGUGAGCUCUUCAGCAGCGGUGGGAAGUGAGAAAAGUGGUAUUUCUGAAAAAUUGUUCUGCCACUGCACAGAGGAUGAGCUGCAGCAGAGCGAGGGCGAGACUCAGGGUGGCAGGAUAAGCUGGGCUGGCAGCCAGACCAGAGGACGGCAGGCUGAAUGAGGACGGGGCUGUGGAAAUGGGAAGUAAGGGGAGUGACGAUCACAGGCAUGAACUGAGCUCUCCCGAGUUGCCGUGUGUCGGGCUGAACAACCUAUACACAUCAGCUCACAGAAUGUUCCCAGCAGUCUCAGGAGAUGCAGUAUUAUCCCAUUUUGCAAAUGAGGAAAGUGAGGCUCAGAGAGAUUCUGUGACCUUCCCAAGGUGACUAGGUAACACAAUACUGAGCUAACAGCUAAUAUGUGAUAGGCGCUCUUCUAAGAGCACAUCUUAUAUAUUAUUUCUUUCUACAACUGUCACCUCCAGUUUAUAGAGGAAACGAAGCCUCAGGGAAGGGAAGUAACCUACUGGGAGUCACAUCCAGCUGAUAAGGAGCAAGGUCAGGAUUUGCACCCCGUCUAGGUUGGCUCCAAAAACUCAUGCUCUGAACUGCCACGCGCGAUUGGCCUCUGCGGCCCGGCCGACUGGGCCACAUUCCGGGAACCCACGCAGAGCCCAUCUCAGAAAGGAGUCUCUGCCAUUCCCCGCAAGGGGGCCGGGGAGACGGGCCAGCAACACAUUCUAGUCCGGAGCCUGCACAGGCAGGUACCACAGUCAACGUCCUGACUCCAGGCUGGCUAGGAGGGUGGGGGGAGGAGAACACAUCCUGACCACGCCCCCAGGGUAUGUGCCAUGUGGUUGUGCUCUGAAAACCAGGGCAGAAUCAUAACUGAGCCCACAGAAGGGCCCUCUGACACUGUGUGUGAGCCAAACCCUCUCAGAGGGCACCCAACCUUGGCCAACUCUUCUGGUUUGCGGCAGACUAAAACGCUCAGACUGGAGUUUUCAAUAAAGCACUCAUCCUGCAGGUCUCCUGCAGGGAAAACAGUCAGGUCACGAGCUCCUGAGAUGUUACCGUUGCAUCUGUGCUUCCCCACCAAGGUGGGCUCAAGACUGGGAGACAGGUGGGGGACAAGGUGUUCACACCUGGGCCACAGACGGAGAGGCCAGAGGCGCAGGAAAGGGCUUUGAGUACAAUUUUAAAAUGCAGGUGCUGUUCCAGGCCACGUGUUCCUCCCAGCACAUUCUUCAAAUUCCGUUUUUAUUUUUAACAAAGGAACACGUGCACACAAUUUCAACAGUCAAACAGUGGUAUGAGGCUUAAGAAAAGAAACAGCAUCCUUUGACCCUCCUCCCCCGAAGCAGUCAUUUUCUACCAUCUUGGUUGGGUCUUCUCCAAGUUCACCUCCGUCAUUCUAAACAACACGCUUCCAGUACCACCUCUCGAUUCCCAGUUUGGGGAAUUAGCUGUUGCCUUCCCACUCUGGGAGGGGAAGAGGUGAGCCCCAGUUUAUGCCUUCUCAGCCGCCACCUCUUUCACACCCCGUUAGAGAGUAAUUUUAGAUAAUCAGUGUUUUUGCGUCAUGAAAAUGUCAUUCACUGACACACCAUAGAGUAUAUUCGGCUUUAGAUGCUUUUCUUCCUAGCAAAACUUUUUGUUUUCCCUGGAGUUCAUCGAGCCUUUGCCUCCACCUGUAAACAUCGGCUCGGGACAGUUGCACACGCUAGGGUCCGUUGACGCCUGCCAUUUCCCUUUCGCUCCCUCACGCUGGAUCCCUGAUUUCCCAGAGCCCCUGUCUUUCUUUUGCUCG